rnacentral:rRNA from 1 species
AAUACGUUCCCGGACCUUGCACACACCGCCCAUCAAGCCAUGGAAGCUGGGUGUACCUAAAGUCGGUAACCGUAAGGAGCCGCCUAGGGUAAAACUAGUGACUGGGGCU